CCGAGUGUGUCUGUUAAUUCAGACUCCUCCCACCCUUGUGUAUUAUAUGCUGAUAAGCAGCUUCGGCGGGCCGUUUUUCUUUCUUGGAGACAUAUCUGAAGAAAAGAAAAACGUCGGCCCUCAAAAAGCGGAUCUGCGCUCGCCGAAGGACUCACAACUCUUUGAUAAUUUGAAGUCUGAUAAAAACUUGAUAAUAAAUCA
rnacentral:misc_RNA from 1 species